rnacentral:rRNA from 1 species
GACGAACGCUGGCGGCGUGCCUAACACAUGCGAGUCGAGCGGAGUCGAUCGACGGAAGCCUUCGGGCGGAAGAUGGUUGACUUAGCGGCGGAUGGGUGAGUAACGCGUGGGCAACCUGCCUCGAAGACCGGGAUAACAGCCCGAAAGGGCUGCUAAUACCGGAUGUGGUCAAAGAUCCGCAUGGAUUUUUGAUUAAAGGGGAAACCCGUUUCGAGAUGGGCCCGCGUCCUAUCAGCUAGUUGGUGAGGUAAAAGCUCACCAAGGCGACGACGGGUAGCCGGCCUGAGAGGGUGACCGGCCACACUGGAACUGAGACACGGUCCAGACUCCUACGGGGGGCAGCAGUGGGGAAUCUUCCACAAUGGGCGAAAAGCCUGAUGGAGCGACGCCGCGUGAGCGAAGAAGGCCUCGGUUGUAAGACUCUGUCUGAGGGACGAAGGAAGUAGACGGUACCGUCCGGACGGAAGGCCACGGCUAACUACGUGCCAGCCGCCGCCGGUAAACCACGCGUACUGU